rnacentral:RNase_P_RNA from 1 species
CAAGUAGAAUAAAUAAUCGCGCCUGCUAAGGCAGGUGAGGAAAGUCCGGGCUUCACAGGGCAGGAUGCCGGAUAACGUCCGGUGGAGGCGACUCCAAGGAUAGUGCAACAGAAAUAAUACCGCCGCAUUUGAUGCGGUAAGGGUGGAAUGGCAGCGUAAGAGACUACCGCUUUUCCGGUAACGGAAAAGGCUGUGUAAACCCCAUCCGAAGCAAGACCAGAAAGAAAGCGACAGGCUUGCCCGGCCUGCUUUCAGGUAGGUUGCUCGAGACUGUCGGCGACGACAGUUCCAGAUAGAUGACCAUUCACGACAUAACCCGGCUUAUCGUUCUGCUUAUUUU